AGAGUUUGAUCAUGGCUCAGGAUGAACGCUAGCUACAGGCUUAACACAUGCAAGUCGAGGGGCAGCAUUGGAGUAGCAAUACUUCAGAUGGCGACCGGCGCACGGGUGAGUAACACGUAUCCAACCUGCCGCUUACUCGGGGAUAGCCUUUCGAAAGAAAGAUUAAUACCCGAUGGUAUAAAGAGUUCGCAUGUUCUCUUUAUUAAAGAAUUUCGGUAAGCGAUGGGGAUGCGUUCCAUUAGAUAGUUGGCGGGGUAACGGCCCACCAAGUCUACGAUGGAUAGGGGUUCUGAGAGGAAGGUCCCCCACAUUGGAACUGAGACACGGUCCAAACUCCUACGGGAGGCAGCAGUGAGGAAUAUUGGUCAAUGGACGAGAGUCUGAACCAGCCAAAAGUAGCGUGAAGGAUGACUGCCCUAUGGGUUGUAAACUUCUUUUAUAAGGGAAUAAAGUGAGGGACGUGUCCCUUUUUGUAUGUACCUUAUGAAUAAGGAUCGGCUAACUCCGUGCCAGCAGCGGC
rnacentral:rRNA from 1 species